rnacentral:rRNA from 1 species
UACGGGGGGAGCAAACGUUGUUCGGAAUUACUGGGCGUAAAGGGCGCUCAGGCGGCUCAGUUAGUGGACUGUGAAAGCCCUUGGCUUAACCAGGGAACGGCAUUCCAUACUGCUGAGCUUGAGUAUAGGAGAGGAUGGGGGAAUUCCCGGUGUAGCGGUGGAAUGCAUUGAUAUCGGGAGGAACACCAGUGGCGAAGGCGCCCAUCUGGCCUAAUACUGACGCUAAAGCGCGAAAGCUAGGGGAGCAAACAGG